UACGGAGGGAGCUAGCGUUGUUCGGAAUUACUGGGCGUAAAGCGCACGUAGGCGGCUUUGUAAGUUAGAGGUGAAAGCCCGGGGCUCAACCCCGGAAUUGCCCUUAAGACUGCAUCGCUUGAAUCAAGGAGAGGUGAGUGGAAUUCCGAGUGUAGAGGUGAAAUUCGUAGAUAUUCGCAAGAACACCAGUGGCGAAGGCGGCUUACUGGUCCGGUUCUGACGCUGAGGCGCGAAAGCGUGGGGAGCAAACAGG
rnacentral:rRNA from 1 species